UACGUAGGGUGCGAGCGUUGUCCGGAAUUACUGGGCGUAAAGAGCUCGUAGGUGGUUUGUCGCGUUGUUCGUGAAAACUCACAGCUUAACUAUGGGCGUGCGGGCGAUACGGGCAGACUGGAGUACUGCAGGGGAGACUGGAAUUCCUGGUGUAGCGGUGGAAUGCGCAGAUAUCAGGAGGAACACCGGUGGCGAAGGCGGUUCUCUGGGCCUUACCUGACGCUGAGGAGCGAAAGCGUGGGGGAGCGAACAGG
rnacentral:rRNA from 1 species